ensembl:lncRNA
GGCUGAAUGUGCCUUGACCCCCUUCAGAGAAGUUUGACACAGAGCAGGAACAUUUCCGCAUUCCUCCCGACUACAAAGACUAACCGCCUCCUUUUGCCCUCCUUGGUUCUUUAUCAUUCAUAGUUCUCUCUCGGUUUUGUCUCAGUGUCAAAACCAGCAGCACCACGGGGGGAAAGCUGGGCAGCAAGAAAAGUGUAUUUGAUGGACCAGUCGAUCUAUCCGGCCAUUGAAAACUAUUCGUUGACAAUACAUCAGCGGGGAAGCAGGGUGACAAGCUCGCCUCUGGCCCAUAAGGUCAGGUUCAAGGACCAGUGGCUUGGGUUGUGUCAGGGGUGAUUCUCCCAAAGCGCUCCUUCGAGGGUGCUCUGUUUCACUGCUUCAUCCAAACGUGAGAUGCCAACUGCACACGUUAGAGAUAGUCCACAGCUUUAAAUGAGGUUGGGUUGGCGCCCCCCUUGGGUUGUGCCGUGGCGGAGAUCUUUGUGGGCUAUACUCAGCCUUGUCUCAGGAUGGACCUGAGCCCUAGGACCAUGCCUCAUGACUACCUGACAUGAUGACUCCUUGCUGUCCCCAGUCCACCUGGCCGUGCUGCUGCUCCAGUUUCAACUGUUCUGCCUUAUUAUUAUUGGACCAUGCUGGUCAUUUAUGAACAUUUGAACAUCUUGGCCAUUUUCUGUUAUAAUCUCCACCCGGCACAGCCAGAAGAGGACUGGCCACCCCACAUAGCCUGGUUCCUCUCUAGGUUUCUUCCUAGGUUUUGGCCUUUCUAGGGAGUUUUUCCUAGCCACUGUGCUUCUACACCUGCAUUGCUUGCUGUUUGGGGUUUUAGGCUGGGUUUCUGUACAUCACUUUGAGAUAUCAGCUGAUGUACGAAGGGCUAUAUAAAUACAUUUGAUUUGAUUUGAUUAGGUAAAGGUGUUAUAACACAGAGGUAAAGGUGCUAUAACUCCUAAAUAAAGGUUCUAUAACUCAGAUGUAAAGAUGUAAUAACACAGAAGUCAAUGUGUUAUAACACAGAGGUAAAGGUGUUAUAACACAGAGGUAAAGGUGUUAUAACACAGAGGUUAAUGUUUUAUGACGCAGAGAUAAAUGUGUUAUAAGACAGAGUAAAAGGUUUUAGACGACAGAGAUAAAUGUGUUAUAACAUAGAGGAAAAUGUGAUAUAACACAGAGGGAAAGGUGUUAUAACAGUGAUAAAGGUGUUACAACACAGAGGUACAUUUGUUAUAAUACAGAGAUAAAUGUGUUAUAACACAUAGGUAAAAGUGCUAUAACUCCUAAAUAAAGGUUCUUUAACUCAGAGAUAAAGGUUCUAUAACUCAGAUGUAAAGGUGUUAUGACACAGAGGUAAAGGUGUUAUAACACAGAGGUAAAGGUGUUAUAACACAGAGGUAUAGAACAACAGUAAUGGUGGAACAUGAACCGAUAAACAAAGCCAGUGAUUUAUAUGCUCUUUGAGUUUAGUCCCCCUCAACUUCUCUGUUCUCUCCUCAGGAUGAAGAAGAAUAAAGCCUGUUUUGCAGCUUUACCGCCACGUUAAUCAUCUCUUGUUGAAACAUUUAAAUACACCCACAUUACAGUUGAAACACAACACCAGUCGAAGCGAAUACCUUUGUACCAGUAUACCACAGAAUCUGUCAUGACAGUUUCAAGCGCAAUACGUGGAAUGUAGUUUGUUAACCAAACCCACCCUUUUGGGAAUUUACAAGUCUCUUGUUUUUCAGACGAGACCACUGUCAUUGCCCUGAAUGCCACCAUAUGACAAAGUUUGGCAAGAGAGUUUGACAGUUAUGAAUAAGACAUAUAAUUGGCAGCCUUUUAGCAGCCUGAAAGCUGUGGGGUUAAGACAGUUUGUCUUUUUAACCCGAGGCUUAGCAUGGAUAAAGUGAUAACAUAAGCCUGGCUGGAGAGAUAAAGUAGAACAGUAGACCUCUUGGUUGGACACUUCCCAUUUGCUGAUGUUUUGAUCAUGGCUCCUGCACUCUGUUGAGGUAAACUAGACAUCUACUGUUGGGUCUCAGGUCAAUGACCUAUAAGCAAUGGUACUUUUCUGAUCGUCUAAUUCUAAAUGUACAGUGUAUAAAAUCUUUAGAUAUGCUGUACCUCAAAUUGGUUCAUUUCAAAAAGAGAGUAUGACGAAUUUGAGAGGAUCCGAGCAUGGCUGGGGAGAUUUGGACAGUCCAGUCUUUCUUAAUCCACAGAGAAGAUCACUGUUAUAAACCCUGCAUAAAAUCAGGAGACAAUGCUAGGUUGUUUUCUGUGUUGGCUUGAUUUUCCCUUUUUUUCAAGUCAAACUGAAGACCAGAGAGCAGCCAGCUAGUAAAGCCUCCCCUUCCCCAGCCCAGGCCCCUCAAAACAAGCCUCUUUCUGUUGGGAAUCUCCAUGGAAACCAAGCAACUAACUUGAGGAGGGAUAUAAAACCUGCUCUUUGAGGGACUGAAGGAACACCUGCCACCUCUACAGAUGGGGGUCAAAAUAGACUGACACACUGCCACCUCAUAAUGAACAGAGGGUUGUGUAACAUUUAAAUGAGUCCCCGUCCCGAACAUCUGCUCAUCGUCAAUUACUUAUUCACUGAUAACUCCUAUUUUAUCUGUUAAAACAGACCCAAUCUUUACUGGAAAUCACUUGAUGCAAUAGUGUAGUCAUUUAUGAGUAUUGGUUCAGAUUGCAGAUUGGUUAAAAUGACAGUAAUAACUGAUAUGGACUGUUCAUCAUUCUAAGAUUGAAGAUGUUAGGUGCGUAAUUGAUUUGGGAAUCUGCAUCACAUCUUGAAGUCCGAGAGCUCUGAAGGUUUUGAAAAUAAGAUAUUUGGUUGUGUGGCCGUUAGUUUGUACAUAACAUGGGUUCCAUUGAAAUCCAGCAACUGCAUGUUUAUGGAAGCGACACCACACUAUCCCCUGGCUGUUACUGUCAAAGCAAAAAGCUGCUGUUGGACAUACAUAGCCUGAACAACCUUAAUUAACACCUGCAGAAUAGCCCCGCGGUUGUUAUUUUACUGCUGCUCUUUCAUUGUUACUGUUUUUUAAUUGGUUAAGGGCUUGUCAGUAAGCAUUUCACUGUGAUGUCUACACCUGUUGUAUUCGGUGUAUGUGACAAAUAACAUCUGAUUUGAGAACCACAACAUAAAUAAAAGAAAAGUACUGUUAACCACACCAACAUUACUGGGAUUGUUAGCCACUCCGUCUUUUUGUAACCUUGCUUUUUAGGGCUAAUUGCCCUGACUUUCCAGAGUUCAGGGGUCAAACAGUUUGUCAACAAGCAUUAGGGCAGAAAUUCAAUCAACUGUUCAGCUUUUGCGAUUCAAAGGAAUCUCCUUCAAGUGUUACAAUGACUAUAAACAAAUCUUGUCCACCACCACUAUCACUAUCAAUACAGUGAGUCCCUCACAUUUCACCUAUUGUAUUUCCGCUUACCCUCACCCAUUCACACCCCAAACAUCAAAGGCCCUAUCAACAAGAACAAGUGGCAUGCAGGGGUCAUCCAUCCAGCCACCCAGCCUCAUUUUAGCCUACACUGCCGGAGGCAAUAUGCUCUGGGAUGCAUCCCAAAUGCUACCCUAUUCCCUUUAAAGUGCACUAUAUUAAUUUCACCAGGGGCCAAAGGGAUCUAUAUAGAGCAUAGGGUACCAGUCUUCCAUGUUCCUCCCCAGCCCUCCCCACUCCUCACAACUCCAUUCAUGUGUGAAAGUGACGGCUGC